rnacentral:misc_RNA from 1 species
AAAUCUCAACCUCCUCGGUUUCUUUUGGAUGCCAAAGGAGGCUUGGACUUUGGAGGGCUUUGCUGGACUUUGAAAGGCCAGCUCCUCUCAAAUGGAUUAGCGAGGUUCCCUUUGCCGAUCCUCGACGUGUGAUAAGAUGCUUCCACGUCUUGGUCUUUGGCUCUGUCGCCUUUUGGGACCUGCUUCCAAUCGUCUCUUGACGAGACAACGUUCGAGCACGUCUCGACCACGUAC